GCUCUGGUAGUGUAGCGGUUAGCCUCUCCUUUAGCCUUGGAGACUUCCUCUCUGCUGGUCGUUGGUUCGAUUCGUGCUCGGAGCA